rnacentral:rRNA from 1 species
UAGCGUAUAUUAAAGUUGUUGCAGUUAGAACGCUCGUAGUCGGAUUUCGGGGCGGGUCGACCGGUCUGCCGAUGGGGAUGCACUGGUCGAUGCGUCCUUCCUUCCGGGGACCGUCUCACUCUUAACUGAGCGGAGGCGGGAGACGGAACGUUUACUUUGAAAAAAUCAGAGUGUUUCAAGCAGGCAGCUCGCUCUUGCAUGGAUUAGCAUGGGAUAAUGAAAUAGGACUUUGGUGCUAUUUUGUUGGUUUCGAACACCGAAGUAAUGAUGAGAAGGGACAGUCAGGGGCACUCGUAUUCCGCCGAGAGAGGUGAAAUUCUCAGACCAGCGGAAGACGAACCACUGCGAAAGCAUUUG